rnacentral:lncRNA from 1 species
GCCAGGCAGCGGUGCCGGGUGCAUGUGUGUGUCGCGUCCAAAAGCCAGUGAACGAAAGAAAACAUCUGAAAAUAACUAUAACAUCUGAAAUAAGGCCUGGAUUGCUGAGCACACAUUUUCGAUGCAGUGAACAAGUGCCCGUGACAACACCAGCAAUAGAUGAACAAUGAACGAGUGUGAGAGAACAUAGUGCCUCUGGCCGGAUCGGUUUGGCUGAACUCCCUUCGAGAGGGUGAUCUUGCAGUUAAUUUGCAAGACAUUAAAAAAAGAUAAAGAACGCAUAAG